CCUCACUAUCUGCACCAAAUGAAGUUAAGGCUGAGGAGCCUACAAACCCCUGCACAACUCUGCACACAGGUGAAAACCUGGAGCCACUGGAGCCAAGAUUUUACCCAUGAUCUUCAUGCCUUCUUCCACAUUGCCCCCUAUCCUUGGAAUGGUCAUCAUGUUUUCAUGAAUCACAUAUCCUGCCUCUUCUUCAAAUGUCUCAACAUUCUGCUCUUCUACAACGUCUUUUAAAAGUGAACCGGGCAAAAUUCCAACACCGACCUGAAGUGCCUGAUUUAUUGAUUUUUUUAGCUGUGUGUGAAAUAACAAACAUUAAGUUCCUUGG